GCCACCGUGGAUCAGUGGGAGAUCGUCCUCGUUCAGUAAAUUGAUUAGUUGUAUUGAGGAGGAAGAGGUGGGUUCGACUCCCACCGGUGGCA